CUGUCAGUCAGUUUGUUCCAGAGGGACUGUCAGAUGCAGAAGGUGUGUCUGAAUGUCAUGCUGAAAGUCAGUUGAUUUCUGGGUGGUUUCUAUGGCAUAGAAUUUGCUGUUUUCUUUAACACCAUUUAAGGCUACAGUGCGAUGACAGCAAUUGAUUGUGACAUCCAGCCUUGUCCUCCCAUCCUCAACAUGCCACCCCCUGUCACCACAGACAAUGUCAAUCACAGAAAAUAGAAGCAACUGUCAGACACGCUAUCUCAUUGUGGACACCCUUUUGUUGUAAAUGACUGAAAUCUGACAGGUAACAGUGGCUAUUGUUCAUUUCAUUGCAUCUAGACUGAAAGAAAAGCACUGUGAAGUAUAAGGAGAAGCAAAAUGGUUAUGGCAUGAUUAUUUAAGAAACAAGCUCCAAGUCUUGGACGCAAUGGAAUUGAUCCACAGUGAACUGUUCUAUUACAUGGAGCAAGUUUUUUUUUUUUUUUUUGGUGAGAACUGAGGAGAUGUGAUGGCAUGAAAUAAGGAGGAUUUAUGCUGUUCCGAAGGAAUUAUAGACACUAUGACACACUUCAAAAAAGAAAAUGGUGCUACUGUGUAUUAUUUGCACUCAAUCUAAUCUGGUAAUCCUCCCAUCUUCCUUCAUGCUGAUGACGCUUUGCAAGAGAGCAUGGACAGUUUAAUGGUUUUCAGUGGUGGGGGAGGAGGAAAACAAAAGCUGUUUAUUAAUGGAGAAAUAUUCUUUCAAUACUUAUGCAUGCUGAUGAAGCCAACAGAAUGCAAUAACAACCAAUUAAAGCAGUGCCCCAUGAAAACAGAUCACAGCACAACUAAAUCAAACGACAAUUUAGGUCUCAAUUCAAUAAGAGUAAGGAAAAGCAAUUUAGUUCUUCACAAUAAACAGGAAGUAUAGAAUGCAUUUGUCAACACCAUUUGCAGAUAAAUAACUUUUCAUCACUUUCCAUUAUUGUGCGAAUUCUGCUUGAGCCAAUACAUUUUCUAAACAUAACUCAAUGGAAUCAAUUGGUCUGGAUUUAACAGCAUUAGGUCUCUGUUCUCGAAGCUACAGAAACAAAUUGCUGUUGGACUUUUUCUCAACUAAAAAUCGAAGCAUUCAAAUAGUUUCACUUGUUCCAAGCAUAAUCUAAUUUUCGAGCGAAAUGCAUCUAAUGUUUCAACCUGAUAAUGGUUUGUGUUUCCAAUUCUGCCACCAUUUCAGCUGUACAAUAAAUUGAGUUGUAAGAUGUAUAGCAAAAUUGGCUUAAUAGCUUGAAUGCCAGAGUAAUUUAACUGACUUGGUGUGUGAAUAAUUUCCAGAAAAGAGUCAGAUGUGUGCUGGUCAUGCAACCAAAUCUCUUAAUGACAGAAGUAGCUUUGCAAGCUCUUUCAUUUCAAGGAGACUGAAGAAAGUGCUAAUUCGAAGCAUCCAUCCAAGCAAGCAUACAAUCAAUCUUUUUUUCUUUUCUUUUUGUAGUUAACAUCUCUUUUCAUUGCAAAUGUCAUCAUCUUUUUCUAAUGCUUUCUUCGAGAAUCUCAUGAUGCUCUUUUUUAAUCAGUGAAUAAAAGCAAUGCUAGUACAGCAAUGAAUGAUGACCUUGAAUCUGUGGCAGAAUAUCAUGCUGCGUGAUAGAUUUACAUAACAAAAGAUGUCUCUUGGAGCUCAAUCACAAGUAAACAGAGCCGAAGCGGUAACAUGGCAUUUCACAGGCCACAUACAGUAUUACGAGUACAUUAAUAGAUGAUGACACUCAGUGUCCUCAAUCUGGGAGCCCUGGGAUAAACAUAUAUUAGCACCUGUGAUACCAAAAGGUUCUCUCACACUGUGGCUAACGUAAGCAUUUACCUGUAGGAUACUUUGAAUUACUGAAUGAUAUGUAUUUGUUGCCACACACGGUAUAUUCAUUAUUUCCUAGCAUUAGCAGAGCAACUUGGUGAUGUAGUGAUAGCAAGCAAGAUUGUCUUAGCACUGCACUUUGUCUUCAUGGGACAUACAUGCAGUAAAAGGUCAUUAAGGUCCCUAAUUAAUCCAUGGGGAAAUUAUAUCUGCUAGCAAAAGAGAGACUGAAUGAGAGAGUUCGCUAUCCACACAAAUGCAGCAUGAUGUAUUUGAAAUACUGGCUAUCUUUUCAGAAGAUAAUCUAAAAUUUCAAAAACUCAUAUAAAAUGAGUAUGAUUUUAAAUUUUGAAAUUCAUACAUUUUCUUCUUUUGCACAUUAUGACUGGAAAGAAAAAAUCAGGUUAGUCCAAUGUGCAAAUAUUUAAUAGUAAAAAAAAUAAAAUAAAAAGAAAAUCAUAUGGCUGCUAUAAUAAGUGUUACCGUUUCUUCCUAUUCUAUCUUUUCAAGUGGUCCUUCUCUUAGCCCUUUAAACGGUCUGAUCUGACCUUCAUCUUCAUGUCUUGAAUGGCUGGUUUCGUGGCUGUGGUGUGUGUGCUGUUUGCUCUCAGCAGCGAUGUAGCAAGUUCCCAUUUAGUUUCAAUAAAAACACAGCUGUGCUUA